UUCCGGCGGCUCCGACGUCGCGGGGCGGGAUUGGCAGCUUCAGAAUCGCUCUAUGUUGCAGAUCGGAGUCUGAUUGGUUCUGUGCGUCUGUCGCUCACAGUUAAGUUCCAAGGCCUCUGCUAAAGGGAGAAGCUUCGCGAGUCUGGUUCAGGAGGCCGGGGGCGGGUACUUCCGGCAUGAUUGCCCAAUCGCAGAGGUGGGGCACUUUCUAUAAAAGCUUCAGCCUGGGGCGCGUGCUUCCUUUUGGGAAUCCAGUGGCGGCCGUGGGCGUUUGUCUGUGCGGUCGCCGCGAGUCUACGUUAGGGGAGUCUCUGGGCCCCGAAUGGGGCUGAGGGGUCCUCCAGGGCCAUCAUCCGCCGGGGCUCCGCCUCUGUCUUCAGCGUUGUACGCGUUCCUUGCUCCGCUCGUCUCCCCUCCCCCCCCACCGGACCCGUUCUGUUGGGAAGGUGCGACUCCAGACCGACUUCCCUCCUCAGGGCGGUCGGUGACGUGGUUGGAGACCGUGGACGUAAAUGAACGUCAGCCCGGGGCCUGGUGGUAAGGCGGGAGUCCACGUCCAUAUCUGCGGCGCGUAACAAUAAAGCAGAGGUGGUGAGUUGAUGGGAGCGCAAGUGUCUUUAUUUUCACACGCGUUUGCUCCCCAGAGGAUUCCGCGGGAGGACUGGCUCGUUCCGUGGCAGUCUUGGGAAAGGGUAGAGAAAGAUGGAUGUUCACACGGUGACCUUUCAACUAUUGGGAUGCCUUCUCGGUUUUUUUGCCUGUAAGAGCAGAAAUCCCGGGGCCGAGCGAGGGUCUUUGUCUUAAGCAGGUGAGGAACUCUUCCUCCUCACCGGCCACAGAGCACUGUUUUCUGUUUCGUUGGGUCUUGCAGAGGGAAGUGGACAUCAACCACCCAACCACCUAGGUUCCCCGUGCUCCCUAGACAGCAGCCCUAGUUGAGGGUACUACCCUCUUAGCGUUGUCUUCAACCCGUACUUUGCCGAGGGCGCAAAGAAGGGGAUUUCUUGUAACAGAAGAGACCGGCAGUCCAGAAAACACAACUUUAUUCACCAGAACUGAAAACAAAGACUCUUAACCUAAAGACCUAUGAGCUGGAGCACACUGCCAGCCUCCUGGCUUGACCUCACUCUGCACAGGCCUCAGCUGGGCUGGCAGUUCUAGUUUCCCUGACGGUUUCUGAUUUCCCACAUGCCGUUCGUGUAUUAGAAAGCCGCAAACUUGGCGUCCUCCAGGCAACACGAGAGGAAGACCCUGCUGAUGUUUGAACCAGAGUCUCUGAGUGUGUGGGCUGGCAGCUUUGGUCCUUGGGGCACAGAUGCAUGAUUGGAUGUGCAGCGAAGCCCUCUGCCCCAGGCACGGACAGGAGUCCGGCCUUUCCCUGCCUGGGCAGCGGGUGCCGCUGAAGACAUGGCUUUUGGGGGGUUAGGCACUGUACACGUGGCGCUGGCACCGGGGUCCAGCCUUGAAGCUGGGCGCGUCCAGGAGAGGGCAGCA